GACAGAGGGUGCAAACGUUGCUCGGAAUUACUGGGCGUAAAGGGCUCGUAGGCGGCCAACUAAGUCAGACGUGAAAUCCCCAGGCUCAACCUGGGAACUGCGUCUGAUACUGGAUGGCUUGAAUCCGGGAGAGGGAUGCAGAAUUCCAGGUGUAGCGGUGAAAUGCGUAGAUAUCUGGAGGAAUACCGGUGGCGAAGGCGGCAUCCUGGACCGGCAUUGACGCUGAGGAGCGAAAGCCAGGGGAGCAAACGGG
rnacentral:rRNA from 1 species